AUUCAAAGGCAUUUGGAGAAGAGAGGUCUGCUAGGGUUUCUCUCUUUAUCAAUUUCUGCUAGAAUUUUCAAUCGCUGUCUCUCUCUCUUCCUCUUCCCUUAUUGGAAAUCUCAAUAUCUUCCUCUUCCCCUCGCUGCCGCAACCUGCGUCCACCGCCGCACAACAUACCGCCGCCGCGCAAGACGCCGCCGCCGCCGUGCAAGACGAGAAACUGAGAGAGAUUAGAGUUCUUGGAGAGCAUCAACGAGACUGAUUAAAUCUCCUUCCGAAAUAGAUUUCAGGAAAGAUGAAAAGGUACAGAACUACAGAUUUUAAAAUCUCUCAGUGUUGAACUCUUCAUUUCAACGGAUCCUACUGUAAGUUUCUUCCUCACUGUGGUUCACUUUUUGAUUAGUUAGGACUUAAUUAAAUUGCAUGAAUUAAUUUGAUAGGAUCAUAGCUUUUUCCUUUGCUGUGUAAAUAGAUUGUGUUUGUUGUUUGUAUAUUGAAUUAGUAGAUUACUGCUAGAGUAGGAAGGGAUUUGAGCUGAA